GAGAACUAUACUAUUAUAAUUCUCUUCUUAAUGUAGCCAAGCGCCGGUGACAAGCCCGACAGAAUACAGAGUCAAGAA
rnacentral:ribozyme from 1 species